CGAAACUUCGUUUCCUCAGUUCAGGAUCCUGAGUACGGCGGAACACGUGAAACUCCGUCGGAAUCCGGGAGGACCAUCUCCCAAGGCUAAAUACUACCUAGUGACCGAUAGUGAACCAGUACCGUGAGGGAAAGGUGAAAAGCACCCCGGGAGGGGAGUGAAAUAGUUCCUGAAACCAUAUGCCUACAAGUAGUCAGAGCUCGUUAAUGAGUGAUGGCGUGCCUUUUGUAGAAUGAACCGGCGAGUUACGUUAGCGUGCGAGGUUAAGGAGGAAAGUCCGGAGCCGUAGCGAAAGCGAGUCUGAAUAGGGCGAGAUAGUACGUUGACGUAGACCCGAAACCAGGUGACCUACCCAUGUCCAGGUUGAAGGUGCGGUAAAACGCACUGGAGGACCGAACCCGUGUAUGUUGAAAAAUGCUGGGAUGAGGUGUGGGUAGAGGUGAAAUUCCAAACGAACUUGGAGAUAGCUGGUUCUCUCCGAAAUAGCUUUAGGGCUAGCCUCGGAGUUGAGAAUCGUGGAGGUAGAGCACUGUUUGGACUAGGGGCCCGUCUUGGGUUACUGAAUUCAGAUAAACUCCGAAUGCCACAGAUUUAUAUCCGGGAGUCAGACUGCGAGUGAUAAGAUCCGUAGUCGAAAGGGAAACAGCCCAGACCACCGAUUAAGGUCCCAAAAUAUGUGUUAAGUGGAAAAGGAUGUGGAAUUGCAUAGACAACUAGGAUGUUGGCUUAGAAGCAGCCACCAUUUAAAGAGUGCGUAAUAGCUCACUAGUCGAGUGAUCCUGCGCCGAAAAUGUAACGGGGCUAAACACAUUACCGAAAUCGUGGAUGUACCGUAAGGUACAUGGUAGGAGAGCGUUCUAAGGACGGCGAAGCUAGACCGUAAGGAGCUAAACACAUUACCGAAAUCGUGGAUGUACCGUAAGGUACAUGGUAGGAGAGCGUUCUAAGGACGGCGAAGCUAGACCGUAAGGACUGGUGGAGUGCUUAGAAGUGAGAAUGCCGGUAUGAGUAGCGAAAGAUCAGUGAGAAUCUGGUCCACCGUAUGACUAAGGUUUCCUG
rnacentral:rRNA from 1 species